GACGAACCGUGCGAACGUUGUUCGGAAUCACUGGCUUAAAGGGCGCGUAGGCGGCUUGCCAAGUCAGUGGUCGAAAUCCCACAGCUUAACUGUGGAAGUGCCUUUGAGUACUGGCGAGCUUCGAGGGAGGGUAGGGGUAUGUGGAACUUCUGGGUGGAGCGGUGAAAUGCGUUGAUAUCAGAAGGAACGCCGGUGGCGAAAGCGACGUACUGGACCUCUACUGACGCUGAGGCGCGAAAGCUAGGGGAGCAAACGGG
rnacentral:rRNA from 1 species